UGGGGAAUCUUGCGCAAUGGGCGAAAGCCUGACGAAGCAACGCCGCGUGCGGGAUGAAGGCCCUAGGGUUGUAAACAGCUUUCAGUGGGGACGAACCAAGACGGUACCCACAGAAGAAGCCCCGGCCAACUACGUGCCAGCAGCAGCGGUAAAACGUAGGGCGAAAGCGUUAUCCGGAAUUAUUGGGCGUAAAGAGCUCGUGGGGGGUAAUACAGGCAGGGUGUGGAAACUGGGGGCUCAACCGCGGGC
rnacentral:rRNA from 1 species